AUCUACUUAACUCAAUGGUUAGAGCACUACUUUCAUAUAGUGGGAGUCAUUUGUUCAAAUCCAAUAGUAGGUA